CCAAGGAGUCUAACAUGUGCGCGAGUCAUUGGGAACGUAUGAAACCUAAAGGCGCAAUGAAAGUGAAGGUCGGCCUUUGUGCCGACCGAGGGAGGAUGGGUCGCGUCAAGAUGCGGCCCCGCACUCCCGGGGCGUCUCGUUCUCAUUGCGAGAAGAGGCGCACCCAGAGCGUACACGUUGGGACCCGAAAGAUGGUGAACUAUGCCUGGUCAGGACGAAGUCAGGGGAAACCCUGAUGGAGGUCCGUAGCGAUUCUGACGUGCAAAUCGAUCGUCGGAACUGGGUAUAGGGGCGAAAGACUAAUCGAACCAUCUAGUAGCUGGUUCCCUCCGAAGUUUCCCUCAGGAUAGCUGGCACUCGGGAUUCUUAUUUUGAACGCGAGUCUCAUCCGGUAAAGCGAAUGAUUAGAGGCCUUGGGGCCGAAACGACCUCAACCUAUUCUCAAACUUUAAAUGGGUGAGAUCUCUGGCUUGCUUGAACGUUGAAGCCAUGAGAUUUCGGAUCAGAGUGCCAAGUGGGCCACUUUU
rnacentral:rRNA from 1 species